rnacentral:rRNA from 1 species
GACGAACGCUGGCGGCGUGCUUAACACAUGCAAGUCGAACGGAAAGGCCUGCUUUCCCUUGUGGAUUGCGGGUACUCGAGUGGCGAACGGGUGAGUAACACGUGAGUGAUCUGCCCCCAACUUGGGUAUAAGCCUGGGAAACUGGGUCUAAUUCCCGAUAGGACUGCAGGGUGGUGCCUGUGGUGGAAAACGAUUUUCUAGUGGUUGGGGAUGAGCUCGCGGCCUAUCAGCUUGUUGGUGGGGUAAUGGCCUACCAAGGCGGCGACGGGUAGCCGGCCUGGGAGGGUGGACGGCCGCAUUGGGACUGAGAUACGGCCCAGACUCCUACGGGAGGCAGCAGUGGGGAAUAUUACACGAUGGGCGGAAGCCUGAUGCAGCGGCGCCGCGUGAGGGAUGACGGGCUUCGGGUUGUAAACUCCUUUCGACCGCGAGGGAGCCACCUGGUUGGAAGGGUGGUGACGGUAGUGGUAGAAGAAGCACCGGCUAACUACGUG